UGGGGAAUAUUGCACAAUGGGCGCAAGCCUGAUGCAGCCAUGCCGCGUGUGUGAAGAAGGCCUUCGGGUUGUAAAGCACUUUCAGCGAGGAGGAAGGUGGUGAACUUAAUACGUUCAUCAAUUGACGUUACUCGCAGAAGAAGCACCGGCUAACUCCGUGCCAGCAGCCGCGGUAAUACGGAGGGUGCAAGCGUUAAUCGGAAUUACUGGGCGUAAAGCGCACGCAGGCGGUUUGUUAAGUCAGAUGUGAAAUCCCCGGGCUCAACCUGGGAACUGCAUUUGAAACUGGCAAGCUAGAGUCUCGUAGAGGGGGGUAGAAUUCCAGGUGUAGCGGUGAAAUGCGUAGAGAUCUGGAGGAAUACCGGUGGCGAAGGCGGCCCCCUGGACGAAGACUGACGCUCAGGUGCGAAAAGCGUGGGGCAGCAAACAGGAUUAGAUACCCUGGUAGGUCCACGCUGUAAACGAUGUCGAUUUGGAGGUUGUGCCCUUGAGGCGUGGCUUCCGGAGCUAACGCGUUAAAUCGACCGCCUGGGGAGUACGGCCGCAAGGUUAAAACUUAAAUGAAUUGAC
rnacentral:rRNA from 1 species